rnacentral:tRNA from 1 species
UGGUAAUUAGUUUAACUAAAAUAAAUGAUUUCGGCUCAUUAGAUUAUGAUCAUCUUCAUAAUUACCAU